rnacentral:ncRNA from 2 species
AAAAUAACACUCGUUUCAGGUGCCAGGUGCGGUCAAACGCCGCACCCGGUUAAACGGGAAAUGGGUGAAACCCCCAUGCUGCCCCCGCAACGGUGAUAGAGAAGACUCAACCGGACUCCGCGUCCAGCCAUUGAGCCACCCGGCUCGAGAAGGCGUUGAGAAAUGGCUCUUCAGCCCGGAUACCGGCCUGAAAACAACCAGGCCU